rfam:Sinorhizobium meliloti 1021 plasmid pSymB
CGCCUUGCGCCUGAAAGGGCGACGGUGUCGAGCCGGAGCGAGAAGUCAGCAGAGGUCGUAGUAGCCGUAUCCGCGGCGAAGGAC